GUGCUUGCUUCAGCAGCACGUAUACUAAAAAAUUAGAAUGACGCAGAAAAGAUUAGCAUGGUCCCUGUGAAGAAUGACAAACAAAUUCAUGGAGCAUUCCAUUAUGCU
ensembl:snRNA U6 U6 spliceosomal RNA